rnacentral:tRNA from 1 species
GGGCUAUUAGCUCAGUUGGUUAGAGUAUGCUCCUGAUAAGGGUAUGGCCGUUGGUUCAAAUCCAACAUAGCCCA